rnacentral:tRNA from 1 species
GGAGAGAUGGCCGAGCGGUCAAUGGCAGCAGACUGUAAAUCUGCCCGCGUUAGCGUACGCAGGUUCGAAUCCUGCUCUCUCCACCA